UCCGGUUUAUCACCGGCAGUCUCCCUGGAGUUCCCGACAUUACUCGCUGGCAAACAAGGAUAAGGGUUGCGCUCGUUGCGGGACUUAACCCAACAUUUCACAACACGAGCUGACGACAGCCAUGCAGCACCUGUCUCAGAGUUCCCGAAGGCACCAAUCCAUCUCUGGAAAGUUCUCUGGAUGUCAAGAGUAGGUAAGGUUCUUCGCGUUGCAUCGAAUUAAACCACAUGCUCCACCGCUUGUGCGGGCCCCCGUCAAUUCAUUUGAGUUUUAAUCUUGCGACCGUACUCCCCAGGCGGUCUACUUAACGCGUUAGCUCCGAAAGCCACGGCUCAAGGCCACAACCUCCAAGUAGACAUCGUUUACGGCGUGGACUAC
rnacentral:misc_RNA from 1 species